UCACAAAGGCACCCCAUAGGGCUCCAUCUUGAGUCCUCUUCUCUUUAAUCUGUACUUGAGGUGCAUAGGAGAACUGCUUAGUCAAGGGUCCUCCCUGGAUAGGAUUCGAGACUUUCUGUGGUACAGAGGCUUAGAGCUGUCACCCGCUAAAUCCUCCUGGAUGCUGUUCAACAAAUCUAAAACGGACCCACCGCCUGUCACCCCUUUGAACCUUACAAUAAACAAUCAAC